rnacentral:lncRNA from 1 species
AAAGUUUCUAAUUCGGUCCCCGCCGGCAGCGUGGCCGCCGCCGCAUCGAAAACAGGAGCGGAGCCGGUGAUGGCUUACCCACCGCAGACAUCCGCCGGAUCGAGUGCAAUUCCUUACGGAACGUCACAUCCUCCGCCGCCGAAUCCGGCUGCGCAAUAUGGAUACCCGCCCCAACAACCGGCUUACGGUGGAUAUCCGCCCCAACAACCGGGAUAUGGGUAUCCACCGCAACAACAGAGCUACGGUGGAUAUCCACCACAAAAUGGAUAUGGUGGAUACCCGCAACAGAAUGGUUA